rnacentral:rRNA from 1 species
AAUCGAACUCGGAGAUAGCUGGUUCUCCUCGAAAUAGCUUUAGGGCUAGCCUCAAGGAUAGAAUUAUGGAGGUAGAGCACUGAUUGAGCUAGGGGCCCAACAAGGUUACCGAACUCUGUCAAACUUCAAAUGCCAUAAUUUGAUACUUGGGAGUCAGACUAUGUGGGAUAAGCUUCAUAGUCGAGAGGGAAAAAGCCCAGACCGACAGCUAAGGUCCCAAAGUGCGUGCUAAGUGGAAAAGGAUGUGGAACUGCACAGACAACCAGGAUGUUGGCUUAGAAGCAGCCAUUCAUUUAAAGAGUGCGUAAUAGCUCACUGGUCAAGUGGUUCUGCGCCGAAAAUUCAACGGGGCUAAGCACGCCACCGAAGCUUCGGAUACCGUUAAGGUAUGGUAGAGGAGCGUUCCAACAGCGCAGAAGGUAUACCGUAAGGAGUGCUGGAGUUGUUGGAAGUGAGAAUGCCGGUAUGAGUAGCGAAAAGAAGGGUGAGAAUCCCUUCCGCCGAAAGCCUAAGGAUUCCUGAGGAAGGUUCGUCCGCUCAGGGUAAGUCGGGACCUAAGGCGAGGCCGCAAGGCGUAGUCGAUGGACAACAGGUUGAAAUUCCUGUACCACCGAGCAUCGUUUGAGUGAAGUGGGGACGCAGGAGGGUAGGUCAUCACACUGCUGGAAUAGUGUGUCCAAGCGAGUAGGGUGCAUGGUAGGCAAAUCCGCCAUGCGAAAGCCUGAGACGUGACGGGGAGAGCCCACGGGCUCGAAGAGACUGAACCCAUGCUGCCGAGAAAAGCCACUAGCGAGAUGUGAGGUGCCCGUACCGCAAACCGACACAGGUAGGCGAGGAGAGAAUCCUAAGGCGCGCGAGAGAACCCUUGUUAAGGAACUCGGCAAAUUGAUCCUGUAACUUCGGGAGAAGGGAUGCCCUAGUAGGGUGAGGGUAUGAAACGACCCGAGCCUGAGGGGGUUGCAGAGGAGAGGCCCCUGGAACUGUUUAUCAAAAACACAGGUCUCUGCUAAGUCGAAAGACGAGGUAUAGGGGCUGAGACCUGCCCAGUGCUGGAAGGUUAAGGGGAAGGUUUAGCGAAAGCGAAGGCCUGAACCGAAGCCCCAGUAAACGGCGGCCGUAACUAUAACGGUCCUAAGGUAGCGAAAUUCCUUGUCGGGU